UUUCUACAGUUCCGCCCCCUUCCCCAUUUCUUCUUUUUUUUUCGGUUCUGACCUCUUCUCCCUCCCCAAGAGCUCUAAAACUCCAAGAACUUCCCCACACCAAGGACUCCAAACAAGACCCAAGUCUUCCUCCUCAAAACCCAUUAGCUUUGAUAAGAUAAAGCCUCGAAAAGGAACCCGAAAUCUUCAUCUCCUCACAAGCUAGGGUUUGGGAUUUUCUUCUUCUUCAAGCUUUAGAACUUGGGUUUCCGAUGCCUCCACGCCGAUCUCGACUUCCUAGGAGUCGAUCCCAUUCGCAGCCUAGCGAGGAAGAAGUUCCCGCAGCAUCCUCCCCUCCAGCGGUUUCCUUUUUUGGGGUCGAGUUCCCCGCGGGCAGCCUUCCUCCUCAUGCUAAU